rnacentral:lncRNA from 1 species
CUGGAAGAUUUUCUGCCUGAGAGAUGUCCACCUUCCUGUGCCUAAAAACUUCCAUGCAUUCUUUAUGACCUCACUUGAAUAUCAACUAGUGUUUACUGAGAACCUACUAUACAACUGCUUCACAACAUUAUUGUGAAGAAAGAUGAAUGGAUGGUAGCAGAAUACUAUUUUGGAAAUAUAACUGCCAUGAUAUUCAGCGAUGAAAGAUAAGAAUUACUGAAUCACCAGUAGGUAAUAAACGGGUUUAUUUUUCAUAAGAAUUAUUUAACACAGAGAGUUUACCAUUUUGAUGCUAGGGAGAAGUAAUCAAUAUGUAUAAUCUUAGCCUAUGCACAAGCAGUUUUGAUAUUUCAUGUGUGACUUUUACCAAAAGAUAAUUCAUCAUUUCAGCAUUAUAAGGGUCAUUUGCUAAAUAGUUAUAUAGUUUAUUGAAUAGUUAUUAUGAGUUAAUCAUUGAAAAUUAUAAUUUGCAUAUCAAUAAUUCCUAGUCUUAUUAUCUUCAUAUAAUUUAUGAAGUUGGUCACUUACCAAAGUGGUUUAGUAGCUAGAUAGAUAGACCCAUUGAAGUACCAAAAAGUAUAGUAAGUCUUAGUCUGUUACAACUGCUGUGACAGAAUUCUAUAGACUGGGUAGCUUAUAAACCACAGAAAUUUAUUUCUCACAAUUCUGAAGGUUGGGAA